GGGGGCGAACUGGGUUCGACGGGGGUAGGAACGCCGAGGUUGCGUGCACGGGAUCCUGGGUACCGUAAAACCCCAGGGCUGCUUAAACGCAGACGAACCUCUAGCACUGGCGGCCUAAGGGCCACCACGUCUAGCCUGCUCGAGCCCGUAGGGUGGGACUAGGCGACGCAAAUCGGGAUAAGCGGUGGCGAGCGCUCGGGCGCCACCGACGAAAACCCACGAGCUGGUUGGCGGAGAUCUUGUCCGUGGGAGCUCCGCCCGCGAGAUCAAAGCACGAGACUACGCACGUAGACGCCCAGGUCGACCGCUUCCGGACGGGGGUUCAAUUCCCCCCGCCUCCACUU
rnacentral:tmRNA from 1 species